GAUGAAGAACGUAGCGAAAUGCGAUAAGUAGUGUGAAUUGCAGAAUUCAGUGAAUCAUCGAAUCUUUGAACGCACAUUGCGCCCCUUGGUAUUCCAUGGGGCAUGCCUGUUCGAGCGUCAUUUGUACCUUCAAGCUUUGCUUGGUGUUGGGUGUUUGUCUCGCCUUUGCGUGUAGACUCGCCUUAAAAUAAUUGGCAGCCGGCGUAUUGAUUUCGGAGCGCAGUACAUCUCGCGCUUUGAACUCAUAACGACAGCGUCCAAAAGUACAUUUUACACUCUUGACCUCGGAUCAGGUAGGGAUACCCGCUGAACUUAAGCAUAUCAAUAAGCGGAGGA
rnacentral:misc_RNA from 1 species